rnacentral:tRNA from 1 species
GCCUUCGUGGUGUAGUGAUGAGCACGCUUGGCGCGUAUUCCAGUGGUCCGUGGUUCGAAUCCCGGAGAGGGCA